rnacentral:rRNA from 1 species
GACGAACGCUGGCGGCGUGCUUAACACAUGCAAGUCGAACGGAAAGGCCCCUUCGGGGGUACUCGAGUGGCGCACGGGUGAGUAACACGUGAGUAACCUGCCCUUGACUUCGGGAUAACUUCAGGAAACUGGGGCUAAUACCGGAUAGGAAUCCUUGCUGCAUGGUGGGGGUUGGAAAGCUUCUGCGGUUUUGGGUGGACUCGCGGCUUAUCAGCUUGUUGGUGGGGUAGUGGCUUACCAAGGCUUUGACGGGUAGCCGGCCUGAGGGGGCGACCGGCCACAUUGGGACUGAGAUACGGCCCAGACUCCUACGGGAGGCAGCAGUGGGGAAUAUUGCACAAUGGGCGGAAGCCUGAUGCAGCAACGCCGCGUGCGGGAUGACGGCCUUCGGGUUGUAAACCGCUUUCAGCAGGGGCGAAGCUUGUGGUGACGGUACCUGCAGAAGAAGCACCGGCUAACUACGUG